rnacentral:rRNA from 1 species
AUUGAACGCUGGCGGCAUGCCUAACACAUGCAAGUCGAACGAUGACGAAACAGCUUGCUGUUUCUGAUUAGUGGCGGACGGGUGAGUAAUGUAUAGGGAUCUGCCCAAUAGUGGGGGACAACAGUUGGAAACGACUGCUAAUACCGCAUACGCUCUACGGAGGAAAAGUGGGGGACCUUUCGGGGGCCUCAUGCUAUUGGAUGAACCUAUAUCAGAUUAGCUAGUUGGUGGGGUAAAGGCCUACCAAGGCGACGAUCUGUAGCUGGUCUGAGAGGAUGAUCAGCCACACUGGGACUGAGACACGGCCCAGACUCCUACGGGAGGCAGCAGUGGGGAAUAUUGGACAAUGGGGGCAACCCUGAUCCAGCAAUGCCGCGUGUGUGAAGAAGGCCUUCGGGUUGUAAAGCACUUUCAUUGAGGAGGAAAAGCUAUGCGUUAAUACCGUAUAGCCGUGACGUUACUCAAAGAAGAAGCACCGGCUAACUCCGUG